UUAUACGGCGAAACUGCGAAUGGCUCAUUAUAUAAGUUAUCGUUUAUUUGAUAGCACCUUACUACUUGGAUAACCGUGGUAAUUCUAGAGCUAAUACAUGCUGAAAACCCCGACUUCGGAAGGGGUGUAUUUAUUAGAUUAAAAACCAAUGCCCCCUGGGCUCUCUGGUGAUUCAUGAUAACUUCUCGAAUCGCACGGCCUUGCGCCGGCGAUGGUUCAUUCAAAUUUCUUCCCUAUCAACUUUCGAUGUUUGGGUAGUGGCCAAACAUGGUUGCAACGGGUAACGGAGGGUUAGGGCUCGACCCCGGAGAAGGAGCCUGAGAAACGGCUACUACAUCCAAGGAAGGCAGCAGGCGCGCAAAUUACCCAAUCCCGACUCGGGGAGGUAGUGACAAUAAAUACUGAUACAGGGCUCUUUUGGGUCUUGUAAUUGGAAUGAGUACAAUUUAAAUCCCUUAACGAGGAACAAUUGGAGGGCAAGUCUGGUGCCAGCAGCCGCGGUAAUUCCAGCUCCAAUAGCGUAUAUUAAAGUUGUUGUGGUUAAAAAGCUCGUAGUUGAACCUUGGGCCUGGCUGGCCGGUCCGCCUCACCGCGUGCACUGGUCCGGCCGGGCCUUUCCCUCUGUGGAACCCCAUGCCCUUCACUGGGCGUGGCGGGGAAACAGGACUUUUACUUUGAAAAAAUUAGAGUGCUCCAGGCAGGCCUAUGCUCGAAUACAUUAGCAUGGAAUAAUGAAAUAGGACGUGCGGUUCUAUUUUGUUGGUUUCUAGGACCGCCGUAAUGAUUAAUAGGGACAGUCGGGGGCAUCAGUAUUCAAUUGUCAGAGGUGAAAUUCUUGGAUCAAUUGAAGACUAACUACUGCGAAAGCAUUUGCCAAGGAUGUUUUCAUUAAUCAGGAACGAAAGUUAGGGGAUCGAAGACGAUCAGAUACCGUCGUAGUCUUAACCAUAAACUAUGCCGACUAGGGAUCGGACGAUGUUAUUAUUUGACUCGUUCGGCACCUUACGAGAAAUCAAAGUG
rnacentral:rRNA from 1 species